AGGACGAACGCUGGCGGCGUGCUUCACACAUGCAAGUCGAACGGGGCUCAUUCGGUGGUAACACCGGAGAAGGCCUAGUGGCGAACGGGUGCGUAACACGUGAAGAACCUGCCCCGAAGACUGGGAUAACAGCGGGAAACCGCUGCUAAUACCGGAUGACCCCACCAGGCCGCAUGGCCAGGUGAGGAAAUGGGCCUACCGCUUCGGGAGGGCCUUCGCGGCCUAUCAGCUUGUUGGUGGGGUAACGGCCUACCAAGGCUACGACGGGUAGCUGGUCUGAGAGGACGACCAGCCACACUGGGACUGAGACACGGCCCAGACUCCUACGGGAGGCAGCAGUGGGGAAUCUUGCGCAAUGGGCGAAAGCCUGACGCAGCAACGCCGCGUGAGGGAUGAAGGUCUUCGGGUUGUAAACCUCUUUCGAGCAGGGACGAUUGUGACGGUACCUGCAGAAGAAGCUCCGGCCAACUACGCGCCAGCAGCCGCGGU
rnacentral:rRNA from 1 species